GACGAACGAUGGCGGCGUGCUUAACACAUGCAAGUCGAGCGGAAAGGCCCUUCGGGGUCCUCGAGCGGCGAACGGGUGAGUAACACGUGAGUAACCUGCCCCAGACUUUGGGAUAACCCUCGGAAACGGGGGCUAAUACCGGAUACGACACAGCUUCGCAUGGGGUCUGUGUGGAAAGUUUUUCGGUUUGGGAUGGGCUCGCGGCCUAUCAGCUUGUUGGUGGGGUGAUGGCCUACCAAGGCGACGACGGGUAGCCGGCCUGAGAGGGCGACCGGCCACACUGGGACUGAGACACGGCCCAGACUCCUACGGGAGGCAGCAGUGGGGAAUAUUGCACAAUGGGCGGAAGCCUGAUGCAGCGACGCCGCGUGAGGGAUGACGGCCUUCGGGUUGUAAACCUCUUUCAGCAGGGACGAAGCGUAAGUGACGGUACCUGCAGAAGAAGCGCCGGCCAACUACGUG
rnacentral:rRNA from 1 species